CGAGGGAGAGCGGCUGAAAGAUGGGUGAAGUGAGUUCCACGUGGGGAUGAACGGACUCCUCGCGAAACCCCGGCUGAGUCCGACAGAAAUCAGUUGGUGCUGCGUGCGAGAACGUCUCGUUUACACUUCGCAAAACAGCCGGUGGUUUUCUGAGCGCAAUACUGAGCAAAACUCCUUUGAUCGCUUCAGGGCUGAAGGGAGCCUCGCUUGCCGGGGCACAGUGGGGAGGGACGGGGAGCGCAACCCCCCGUGGCACCGGGAAUGGGAAGAAAGCGGGGUUUUGUGUGGCCUCAGCUGCGAGAGUAGAGAGCGUCACUGGCGGGAGAGCAGCAGCCCUCAGCCCGCUGAGGGAUCCCAGCGCGCUCCAGAGCAGCGGGGUCACGGCCGCGGCCAGGCGAGGUGCUGCUUCUCCCCUGGCAGCACGAGAGAAUCCAAAGCUGGGAACACCAGGUCCCUUCGUGUGCAAGAUUAGUCUUUUCUUGCCUGUUGUAUGUUUAAAAUGUAAUGUAUUCUGAACCUUCUGGGACCUAACUCGCAGCUCCACAGGUAAGCUCCAAAAAUACGGGGCUUCCUCCUGCUGCACCGCACCACCAGCAGCAACCACGUCCUUCUUCUCUAUUCACAGGAUUCUGUUACCGAUGAGUCCGCGUGCGCAACCUCUCAUCAAACGCAAGAGGUGCUCCCAGGAUCUCAGCAUCUCUCUCCCAUGGCAGGGACGGGAUAGGCAGCACGAGGGGAAGUUGCUUAUAAGCACCGUCGUGUAGCGUCAGAGCUGCAGGUUUGAAAGCUCUGAGAGCCAACCUCACAGAACCUUCCUGCUCUGAGGCACCAGCACCUUGCUCAUUCACGAAAUCACUCUGAGGAAGAAGGCAAAAUGAAUUUUUGCAUUAGGGACACAUCACUGGUUUCUCCGUAGUGCUGAUAACACAACUUUAGUGAAAAUCUCGGACCUUUUGCUACACAGAAUAACCAUGUUGCCCUGAAUGGUUAUUGUUUAGUGAAACAUCUGAAAACACAUAAUAGACUACUUGUUUGCAACGCUUGCUAUAGAUUUUGUAAUGAAGUGCCGUUGCGCUGCAUCAAUUUGACAGUUCGAGUUGAUAAUUUGACAGAAAGAUUAAUCCUAAACUCCCAGCAUAAACAGAAUUCCCUUUAAUGUCAGAAGGGACUUUGUAACUGCCAGCCCAAACGCUGCGGAUGGGCUUCAGCAGGUUACAGAGAGCGUCUUCAGGAUCAAAUUUGACAUUCCUCUUCCUGACUAACAGUUGGUAGUUGAAAAUAGAACACCUCUCCCAGUUCUGAAUUCUGACCCUCACUUCUUGCUCACCCAAACCGAGGACUUCCAGACUUCUUUUCCCAAACGCUCACCGCGAAGGCUUUUGAAUGCAGAUGUUCACUCGUGUCUCCUGACAGUAGGCUCAGUUUUCUCAGCUACUUUUAGUAAGCUCCUAAAAACAGCCCACGGUCCCUCAGAACCUCAUCAACAACUGGCUAAAAGCCACGGUCUCACUGUAUCCUUUUUUCUUUUGGUAUCUGCUACAGACUUUGGACAGGUACAAAAGUUCUACCUCUCUGGGUCCAGGUCUCUCUGUCUGACAGCACGUUAUUUCUGCAGCUGUCACAUCUCCUCAUUUUCUAGAGCUGUUAUUACCUUUACAUAAUACGUAUUAUUAUAUUACAUAUUCUUCAGAAGUUGUUCUUCCAGUGGCAACAUAUGGAGGACCAUCAACCGUCAAGACGGAAGUUCAUGCAACUGUCAAGACUGAAUUUCAUGCAUUCAGAAUGCUUAGGCACCAUCUGACACUCGUAGAGACCCUAACGUUAAAUACAUCUACUGAACUGUGACAGCACACAUUUCUUGUGUGAAAGCCUAUAUUUCUGAUAAGGAAACCUGGUUCAGCAGCGCUCAAUAUGGAUUCUGGAUAACAUCUUAAAGAGGCCAACCAGCCAUUCCGUGCAUACAGAAACACGCCUGUGAACUUCUCCCUGCAGUCAGCUCCUUCAGCUCCCCACUUCCACGCCAGUGAUGUUAUUUCACCCACACCUUGCAGAAGGGGCGCAUUCCACUCAUUCCUGAGCUGGGACGAGCGCCCGCAGCAUUACUCACCCACAGCAGUGUCUGUAGAUCCCUGUCUGCUGUGGAUACUAAUCUCAAUCCAGAGCUUCCUCAGACGAUUAGAGGCUGUUCUGCAAAAUGUCAAUACACAGCCUCUCCGAAGCCAACACGGUGUGGUGGUUGAAAUGGGAGCCGUGGAGGCUUUCCAAAUAUGAAGGUCUGGAAAUGUUUGGAGGUAUUUUAAUAUUGAUGAAUACUUCAGAUUUUUUUUUUUUCUGUUGCUUCAGUGUAUCAGUGUCAAAUCUGUGCGGAUUAAUGGCAAGACAGAGCCCUAGUACCAUUCGUGUCUAUCAAAGUUCUGGCAAAUGCUAACAACUUACUGCUAUUAAUGAUCACUCUUUGCCCAGAAGUUCACAUAAUUCAUCAAAAAGCCAACGUUGAUAAGCAGAAAGAAAUUAAAUACUUCUGAGUCUUCUGUUAAAAUGCCUUUCUUUUUACUUUGUUUAACAUCUAAUGUCUCCUACAGCAAAAGUAAGCAAGGGGAAGUCUUUUCCUUCUUCAGCACAAAAGAGCACCCACACCACUCAAAAACAGUUGAGAUUAAACCUUUGAAAAGGUAUCAGCAGUGUGUGUAAAGCCAAAUUGGUAAAGUGUGCCCUAGACACCACUUUUGACUCUGGGGAAAAUGCUUUAUCAUCUGUCUACUGCUACGCUCUGCCUAUUCAUCACCAUUACUCAGUAACUCUGCGGUGGCAGCUUUGUACUUAACAUGAAGCCAAAGAUCAGGGAGAGGCACACAUCAAACAAGACUUGAACUUGGAGAUGGCAAACCAUACGUUCUAGACCUCAUUCCUUUAAAGGACCGUACCUCGGAAUGAAACCUGUGAGCCUUUUCUAUAGUUUCAUUUGUUCAAUACAGUGCUCCACUUGUUCUGUAAAAGAAGUUGGCAAAAGCCCUGCUUUCCUGAGAUCUUGUCAUUCAUUGUGACUGAAACCUAAAAGGCUGUCCUAUGGUACUAAGGCAGGUCUGGGGUACCUGAGAGAUCUACCUGCUCCCUAUGCCUCCAUUCCACAUUCUUCACACACCUUGAAACCAAGGAACUGUCAAACACAGAAGCAAAGAUGGCGAGGGGUGUACACCCCCAUUCUUUGCAGCUUUCCAUGGCUGUAAAGUUCCCUGUGAAGUGACCCGAGAAUAUGUACAAUGACAGAAAACUCAUUUCUUCACUCGCCAUUUCUCAACAACAGCCAGUUCCAGCCCUUGUCAUUCUUCUACUUCUCCACACAGACGAAGGCAGGAGAGAAUUCUCUUGGUUUAACUUUAAUAAAUGGUGCUUGCUUUCCUGCCAGCAUCUCGCCAGAAUCCUGCAUGACAGAAUCAAAGAACAGCGGAGACUGAAAGGCUCUUGUGAAGAGGAACCUAACUUCCCUCCUCAAUGAUGGUGAGAAAUCAUAGGAAGAGACACAAGGAGGCGAAAUGUAUGUGCUCCACCCUGAUAGGAUGCAGUCACAAGGGCUGAGGAUGCUGGCAGAAGUGACUGCCAAACUACUCUCUAUCAUUUUUGAAAGGAGAUCAUGGAGAAUGGGAGAGGUGCCUGAAGGCUGGAGAAAAACUGAUGUCACAAAGGGCAAGAAGGAGGACCUG
ensembl:lncRNA